rnacentral:rRNA from 1 species
CAAGUCGAACGAGAAUGUGUAGCAAUACACAUGUAAAGUGGCGAACGGGUGAGGAUUACAUGGGUAACCUACCCUCGAGUGGGGAAUAACCAGCCGAAAGGUUGGCUAAUACCGCGUACGCUUCCGAGACUGCGGUUUCGGAAGGAAAGCGAUACCGUGGGUAUCGCGCUCUUGGAUGGGCUCAUGCCCUAUCAGCUUGUUGGUGAGGUAACGGCUCACCAAGGCUUCGACGGGUAGCUGAUCUGAGAGGAUGAUCAGCCACACUGGCACUGCGACACGGGCCAGACUCCUACGGGAGGCAGCAGUAAGGAAUAUUGCGCAAUGGGCGAAAGCCUGACGCAGCGACGCCGCGUGGGGGAUGAAGGUCUUCGGAUUGUAAACCCCUUUCGGGAGGGAAGAUGGGAUGGGGUAACCCAUUCGGACGGUACCUCCAGAAGCAGCCACGGCUAACUUCGUGCCAGCAGCCGCGGUAAUACGAAGGUGGCAAGCGUUGUUCGGAUUUACUGGGCGUACAGGGAGCGUAGGCGGUUGGAUAAGCCCUCCGUGAAAUCUCCAGGCUUAACCUGGAAAGUGCAGAGGGGACUGUUCAGCUAGAGGAUGGGAGAGGAGCGCGGAAUUCCCGGUGUAGCGGUGAAAUGCGUAGAGAUCGGGAGGAAGGCCGGUGGCGAAGGCGGCGCUCUGGAACAUUUCUGACGCUGAGGCUCGAAAGCGUGGGGAGCAAACAGGAUUAGAUACCCUGGUAGUCCACGCCUUAAACGAUGGAUACUAAGUGUCGGCGGGUUACCGCCGGUGCCGCAGCUAACGCAGUAAGUAUCCCGCCUGGGAAGUACGGCCGCAAGGUU